GACGAACGCUGGCGGCGUGCUUAACACAUGCAAGUCGUACGGUAAGGCCCUUUCGGGGGUACACGAGUGGCGAACGGGUGAGUAACACGUGAGUAACCUGCCCACAACUUUGGGAUAACGCUAGGAAACUGGUGCUAAUACUGGAUAUGUGCUCCUGCUGCAUGGUGGGGGUUGGAAAGCUCCGGCGGUUGUGGAUGGACUCGCGGCCUAUCAGCUUGUUGGUGGGGUAGUGGCCCACCAAGGCGGCGACGGGUAGCCGGCCUGAGAGGGUGACCGGCCACAUUGGGACUGAGAUACGGCCCAGACUCCUACGGGAGGCAGCAGUGGGGAAUAUUGCACAAUGGGCGCAAGCCUGAUGCAGCAACGCCGCGUGCGGGAUGACGGCCUUCGGGUUGUAAACCGCUUUCAGCAGGGACGAAGCUUUUUGUGACGGUACCUGCAGAAGAAGCACCGGCUAACUACGUG
rnacentral:rRNA from 1 species